GUCCUGGCCUGCCCUGAGAAGGGCGAGAAAAUGGCAGCCGUGGUUUCCGUUUUGCUCCUCGGCCGCCAGCGCGCAUGUGUGGUGCUGACGCUCGGACCGCAGCCCUGAAGGGAUCGUCCGGCGGGUAUCGGGUCCGCAAGCUGGGGGCGAUGGGCGAACGGCAGUCCGUCAGAAUCGGGGUGUUUGUUCGAGGGUGAGGGAGUUACAAAGCUGUGAGUCUUAUCCAUCUGCCUGCAGCCACUGCGCUCAUGUAUUUGUGUUUCUUUCCUGGAGCUGUCAAGGUGUGCACGCUCUUUGCACACUGCCUGCGGAGGCUGGCGGGAAUGCCUUUUGCUUCUGAGGCCAGUGAAGGACAGACAACAGUCUGAGGGGAGACAGCAUUCAACAGAAGCUCAUCAAGUGCUUUUAGAGGCCUUCAAGAAGAACUGCUGUUGUGCUUGAAAAUUGAAUAUGACCUGCUGCAAAACUUUUGUUUAAAACCUUAGUUUCCAAUUCUCCCAGUCUUCAUUUAAUGAUGAAAAUGAAGUGUUAUAUUUAAAGAUAAUGCUACCUUUUACCAUAGGUAGUUCGUCUGAAGAAACAACAGUUCUUAAAUACAUGUUUUUAUGCUAGCAGUACUUGGCCAAGGAUGAAAACCAUCAUCUGAUUCCUUGCAUACUUUCAGUGAUACGCAAAAAUCUGAUGGAUUAAAGGAUUUUCUGAGGCCAAAACU